UGUAGUAUUUAGGUUUGUAUAGACAUAUAACCUCUAACGUGUAUUUGAUUAUAUUUUGUUAAGCGCAAGAAGUGAAGCAAAAUUCAAACAUAAGUUUAUGUUUUGAUUUAUUAAAUUUAUUAUUUUUAUCAAACAAUUGUUAAGUUCGUAUUACUUGCAACAAUAUAAAUAUAGGACAAAUUGUGUAUAUACUUGUGUACACAAUCUAGCAGAAGGAAGCAAAAAUGCUUACAGAUGUAAAUAAAUAAAUCAGAAAUUAAGUAAUUAUAAAAUAACUAAAAAUCCAUUAUCAUACACGCAUACACGUAUGUUGUGAAGCAAUUAUUACGUAUCACUGUAUCAUUAUGAGUGAGAGUGCAGAAACGCAAAGUAAGGAUAGUGCGGUGUCUGUGAUAACUGAGCAGGAACGUGAAUUGGCUCAAAAUGCAUUGUUGGAAUUUCAAAAAGGCUCCUAUGCAUCAUGUUUGUUAUAUUUAAAUAAAUUGGAGAGUCUUCGGCCCAUGGAUCUGAAGGUUACGCAUAACAAAGUUGUUGUGGAAUAUUAUAAAAGUGAUCUGAAGAAAACUGAAUUGAUGCAAAAGAGCUUGAAUGCAAUAUGCGGUCAAAUAUCAACGAUGGAUUCUAGUGAGGCUAUUGACGAUGUCGAGAAAUGCAUCAUGAGGUACAACCAAGCUGUCCUGCUGUAUCAUACUAAGCAAUAUAACACUGCUCUUCGAGUGAUGAAUAAAUUUUUUGCCUUCAUCGAGCCGAUGGAAGAGACUCUGGCGCAUAAAGUUUGUCUGUUACUUAUCGAGUUAUAUAUAGUAAUAGAGCAACCAGACGCAGCUUUAUCAAUUAUAGAGUAUGUUGAAAGCCAGUUUGUAUCUCUCGACAGCUCUAAAAUACCAUCAGUCGAUAAAGAAGGAAUAACGAAGUCUAUUAAGGAACAGAAAGAACAAAAGAAAGAUGUUUCUGAUACAUUAGCAGAUGCUUUCAAGAUUAAACUCUUAAAAUGUAAAGCAAGAGUAUAUCUCCUGACUCAUCAGUUAAAGCUCUGCAAAAAAGAGUGGAAGACGUUAGUUUCAUUAGGCACACCAGCGAAUACAUCAACGAUCUUCUUGAAAGCUAAUCUAGAAUACUUACGAGGAAAUUACAAGAAAGCAAUGAAGCUAUUAAAUUCCACAACGAUAGAGAACUUAGAUUUCAAAUUAUGCGGAGAAUCUUCUGCCGUCUUAUAUUAUAAUAACGUAGCAUGCUUGCAUCUUGCAAUGGGUAAGCCAAAUCUGGCUUGUUUUUAUCUUCAGAAAGCUCUAUAUGAGAAUAAAUAUGCGGUGGAGAAUGUGCAAGUUAAAGAUACUGAUCCUUUGUCUCAGCCACUGUACAUGUUGGGUGGCAAUAAGCAUUAUGAACUAAUGUACAGUUUAGGAGUGUCGUUGUUGCAUGCUGGUCAAAUUUCAAAAGCCUUUGAUUGCUUUACGGAAGCAGCACAGAGAUUGCAUAAUAAUCCUAAGCUCUGGCUCAGAAUGGCAGAAUGUUGUAUUUAUAGCCAUAAAUAUUCAAAUGAAAUUGAUUUUGAUAUAUCAAAGCGACGAAAAGACUUGGUGCAGAAAGUUAUAGGUUCCGGUAUUUAUAGAAAGAUUAUCCUAGCUACAUCUCUUUCAAAUGGCAUAAAUUAUCAUACAGAAGAUCUAUCCUAUGCAAUACCACAGCCAACAUUGGAAUUUGGAUCUUUAUGCUUGAAAAAUGCAUUAUUUUUACUACCAAACAAUGAACCAAAUGUACUUGUGACAAAUAUAACGAAUACACAAACAAUGUCGCUAUCAUUAACAUCUGGUCAUAGUUUAGGUGUUCAUCAUGCGGCAUUAAUGUCCCAAGCUACGAUUACUGAAUGUUUUAAUUUAAAAAUUAGUGUAUUGGCCGCUAGUACAUACAUUUCCUUAUGUCUUGGAGAUUACAUACUUGCUUUUGAGCACGCAAAGUCUUUGUUGAGUCUCAAUAAAUUGCCUGGAGCUUAUAAAAUGUUAGGUAACUUGUAUGCUGCUGAAAGUCUCAUCUAUAUGGAUAAAAUCAGUGAAGCACUCGAAUACCUUAAACCAGAAAAUCUUCAAGAUUUAAAUACAUUUACACCUAUAUCAGAAAUACAAGAAAAAGAUAAAGAAAAAGCGGAAGAAAUUGUGACAAGACCUAUAAAAAAAGCAUGGUAUCCUACAACAGUUUCUACAGCCACCGCUAUAUUACGUUAUAAUUUAGCUGUGGCUUAUGCCAUACAAGGUGAACUAGAAAAAUCAGGAGAAACCUUAAAGCAAGUAUGGAUGUCGAAAGAACCAAAUUGUGAUAUACCUAUACAAGUUAUAAUGUUGGCCUUGUACAUAGAAUUGCAAUUAGAUCUUAUAGAUAUGGACUGGCCAUUGGCUAUAGUUUCUGUACAGAAAUAGUGUCUGAAGGAGGUUGGAGGGGAAAAGCAUGCUUUUCAGUACUUCUCUCUCUGCAGUGUCCGGAAGUCAUGCAGAUAUUUCAAAAUCUAUAAUAAAAAAGCAUUGUCCACAAUAUCGUUAACAUAGAAGAUCUGUUUAAGAGAUCUUAAAACGCUAUUAAUAUUAUAUUAAUACAAUAUAUAAUAUUUAUACUGCUAAGUAUAUGUAUAUAUAUGAGAAGAAAA
rnacentral:misc_RNA from 1 species